rnacentral:rRNA from 1 species
AUACGUAGGUGGCAAGCGUUGUCCGGAAUUAUUGGGCGUAAAGCGCGCGCAGGUGGUUCCUUAAGUCUGAUGUGAAAGCCCCCGGCUCAACCGGGGAGGGUCAUUGGAAACUGGGGAACUUGAGUGCAGAAGAGGAUAGUGGAAUUCCAAGUGUAGCGGUGAAAUGCGUAGAGAUUUGGAGGAACACCAGUGGCGAAGGCGACUGUCUGGUCUGUAACUGACACUGAGGCGCGAAAGCGUGGGGAGCAAACAGGAUUAGGUACCCUGGUAGUCCACGCCGUAAACGAUGAGUGCUAAGUGUUGGGGGGUUUCCGCCCCUCAGUGCUGCAGCUAACGCAUUAAGCACUCCGCCUGGGGAGUACGGUCGCAAGACUGAAACUCAAAUGAAUUGACGGGG